AAGAGGAGACAAUUAUUACAAGACUCAGAUUUGGGCAUACUGGACUUAAUAGUACACUAUUCAAAAUAGGAAAACAUAACUCAGGAAACUGUGACAAUUGCGGACAAGAGGAAACAAUAGAACACAUCACAGUACACUGUCAAAUAUAUGGGACAGAGAGAACACGACUCAGACAGAACCUGAGAAAGCUUAAGAUGAAACUGAAUAUUUUGGACAUUUUACAGCAAGAUUCACAUAACGAAUGUUAUAGUUAUUUAAUACAGUACCUCAGGGAAAUUAAGAUGUUAGGGAGAAUCUAAUCAUAUUGUACGUUUUUUUGUUGUUGUUUUGUUUGGAUUUGUUUUUAGUGAUUCCGAUCCACACUCCUUACCAGUUGGUGGUAAUGCACCAUUUCCUUGAUUGCCAACCGCCAUAAAACAAUAAGAGAAGAAGAAGAAGAAGAAGAAGAAGAAGGGCAAGAAGAAGAAGAGCAAGAAGAAGAAGAGCAAGAAGAAGAAGAGCAAGAAGAAGAAGAAGAGCAAACCGCUUUCUGGAUCUCGCUCUGCGCGUCCAUGAAUGCUACGCGAUGCUACGCUACAUCCGAUGCUAGCGGACUUCACGGAUGUUUACUCCGACUUCUACGGGACUCGCCUCGGAUGUGUGCAGACGGCAACAGCGACCGACAACGAAGUUCAUGUGAGAACUGUCUGCUGCAGUCAGGGCUGAGCUGAGUUCAUCUUGCAAGCCCUCUCUUCAGUGCAACACCGGCUCCUCCAACAGUCACGUGACCUGUCAGGACUUUAUUUAUUUGUUGCAGCAUAUCAGAUGCAAUGUGUUGAUUUAAACCAAUGAUAGUCAUAUUUUGUCUUUGAUUUUUUGAGAAGUCUUUUAGGAGCCUCACCCCUUUGAUCCACCUCAGCUUUUUGAUUUCACUUAUAUUUAUAAAUAUCUUUAUUUUCAAUAAUGUCACUUUCAACGACCAAACUGUAUUUGAUAGUAUAACAUUUAAAAAAAGGUGAAGAGCCACAAGUAGUUUGUCCAAUAGACGAGCUGAUGAGCAUGUCACAUGUAUGUUUACUGUAUGUGGACUGAAGUACAGCAAAUAUGAUCUGUUCAUGAUGGAUUAAAAAUAAAUUAAAUAUUUUAUGACGUGACAUUCAUUUGGGUUUUGUAAGUUAAACUCAACUUGUUAAUAGUGAUAAAUAAUUGAUAUUUUGGAUGUUUAUAGUUCAUUGAUGUCACAACAUCAGACUUCCAUAUGUAGAUUAAUUGAAGGCUGCAUGUGACUCUUAUGAAACAGUUCCUGGCGGUGGGUUACAUGGUGUCAUUUUUUUAUUUUAAUGUCGUUUGUCGAGGUGGUGAAAUGAACUGAACUGAACUGAGCUGAGCUGAUCUGAACACCAUCGAACUGUCAAACUGUAUGCGGGUGAAUGAGCUCAUACGCCGCCGGCCUCACUGGCUCAGCCUGUUGUUGUUAGCUUAGCCUGUUAGCUCAGAGCAACACGUCAACACCGCAACCUGCUCCUCGUUAAUAAUCUGCUUCCGUAUUUAAAACAUCUCGACGCAGCGACGAGCGGAUCACAACCAUCCGACCCACGUAUAUAUUAAUUCCAUUCCGCCUGACAUCAGUCUUCAGUACCAGACUGACUCCACAUACAUGUUCACCGUAACCGAGCAAGAAACCUCGUUCCGGGGACGCGACGUAACCGCGCAUACCCAGCUUGAACCGCGGCCGCAUUGAAUUUAAGCUGCAGUACCACGGAAAUGGCCGCCAUGUCUUUUUUGCUUCAAUGCGGAACGAAGUCCCCGAGGCUUACUUUAACCGAGCAAGAAUCCUCGUUCCGGGGUCGCGACGUGACCUCGCGUACCCAGCUUGCACCUCGGCGACAUUGGAUUUUUCGAUGCAGUACCACGGACUGGCCAGCAUUUCAUUUUUGCUUCAAGGCUGAGCGACACACUUUCCCAGGGUUUACAGAAACUCGAAACGAUAUCAUUCAAAUCGAUGUAUGUAGAAACCAUGUUCGAACAUAAAACCCAAGUUACACAUACAAACAGUUCGUCAUAUGUAAGUAAAAUAAUUUUAAAAUCUGUGUUAACUUUUUCCUGGCCAUCUAAUGAUUUUUCAUUGAAAACAAAGGUAGAGGAAAGUAGAAUAGGAGCUGGUUGGUCGGCUCCAUAAGAACUACUUAAUUUUAUAGCGCCUCUAAGUUGGAAAGCGGUACUGCAUGGGUCUGCAACGUAAUGUGUAAUACAUGAGUGGAAGUUGAUGGUACUGCACAUGAAUUACCACAGGGGGCCCUGUAUUCAAAGUCACAACACUCGAAUCGUUGGCGGUUAGCAGGCGGCUCGGGCGGGACCCUUGAAAGUAAAAACACUUCACCGUGUGCGGUUGUCAGUUCUUAGGUGUAACUGUAAUACUGUAUUAGGCUUUAUAUCCUCUUUAGAGUUAGUUAGCUGUGUGUUUUAACGAAAGAGAUAGCUAUAGUGUUGCUCGGCCGGCAAAAAAUAUGUUUUCGUUUUUCCUUGCUGCUAACUAACGGUUAGUAUCACAUACCGCGAUGUCUGUGCAUUAACUUAAAUUAUUUCAUUACUUUGAAGUUAGUAAGUUUGGUUGAGGCUCGAGUAGCGACCGAGCCCCACGGUUUUUUACAGUAGUAUAGUGGUAGUAGGCUAUACUUUUUCGAAUACAGAAAGAAAGAAAGAAAACAAUACAAAAUGCCUCAGAAGAAGCCGACAGCUGCAAACGUCUCCAGCUCCAUGGACCUCGAGUCGGAAGACAUCAGCCUGGAGACCACCGUGCCCACCACCGAUGAUGUGUCCUCGUCCGACGAGCAGCGGGACGGCUCUCAGAAGGUGACCCGCCAGCUGAUCGAGAGGAAGGAGCUGCUGCACAACCUCCAGCUGUUGAGAAUCGAGCUUUCUCAGAAGAAUCUCAUCAUAGACAACAUGAAGGCCGACCACAUGUCAAAGAUUGAGGAGCUGGAGGAGAGGCUGAAUGAUGCUCUUCAUCAGAAACAAGUGUUGGCCCUGAGACUCGACAGCCAGCUGAAACUAGCUCAGGAGGAGAACAGGAAGCAGCAGGCUCUGCGUAAGCAGGAGAUGGAGGCCAUCCUGCUCAGGCAGCAGCAGCUCGAGGAGACCAACCGACAGCUGUGUGAAAAGGCUGGAGAGCUGCGCAGGUCUCUCAGGGAUCUGGACAUCUCCCAGGACAGGUACCAGGAGCUCCAUAACCUACCUGAGGAGAAAAUCUCCAUUCAAGAAUAUGUAGCUAUGCGUUUCUAUCAGGUGGUGACUCCUCUGCGGUCUCAGUUGGCUGAGCUCAGUGUUAAGAAAGGCACUUUGACAGAAGAGGUGGAUACACAGAGAACGCAGUUGAAGGCUUUGAUGCAGAGCUAUGAGGAGGAGCGGCGGUUGCUUGCUGAGCUGGAGGGGAAGAGCCAGAGACUGAUCCUAGAACUGGCUGACACCAAACAGCAGAUCCACGAAGGGGACUAUCGUCGAGACAACUACCCAAACAUCAAACGGGAACGCGACAACUUUGAAACAGAACUGAAGGAGUUGAAGAGGAGUUUUGAGAUGCUAGACUUGAGCCACACUGCACUGACCAGAGAAAGAGACACACUAAGCAAAGAGGUGGCAACAUUGCAGCAGGCGGCGACUCUCCUAGAGAAAGACAAGGAUUAUCACCACCGGCAGAAUGUGGAGCUAAGGUUACGCUGUGCACAAGAAGAAGACCGUCUGGAGAGGCUGCAGGUGCAUUUAGAAGACACUAAGAAGGCCAGGGAGGACGUCUACGAAAAAUACGUAGCAUCCAGAGACCACUAUAAGACAGAGUACGAGAAUAAGUUAAGAGAGGAGUUAGAGAACAUCAGGCUGAAAACCGGUCAGGAGAUAGACAACCUGCAGAGAACCUCCAGAGAGAUGUAUGAGAGGGAGAACAGAAAUUUGCGUGAGUCCAGAGACAGUUCGGUGCUGGAGAAAGACAGAGCACAGGCAGCGGAGAGAGACACUCAGUCUAGAUAUGACCAGCUGCUGGAACAGUUUCGCCAGCUCCAGCUGGGUACUGACACCCGGGUGGCAGAACUGUCGAACCAGGCCAAGCUGCACUCCUUUGAAGCCGAGCAUGCUCAGAUGUUCAAGGAGGAGACUGCCAAGGCGCUAGCACAGUGCCAGGUGGUGUGUGAAAAGCAGCAGAAGAAACUGGAGUUCCUCACUCAGGAGUUUUUCAGGCUGCAGGCUUCGUCAGAGAUGCGGGUGGCGGAGCUGCAAGCUCAGAAUGCUGAGCAGUCCUCUCGCCUGGAGACGUAUGAAAAACUGGAGCAAGAGUUGGACCAAGUCACCUUGCAGGCUGCUGAAAUUGAGAACGAAGAGGUGGCAGAGAGAGUUUUGUUCUCGUACGGCUACGGAGCCAAUGUUCCAACGACGGCCAAAAGAAGACUAAAGCAAAGUGUACACCUAGCCCGCAGGGUUCUGCAACUCGAGAGGCAAAACACUUCGCUGAGGAGAGAGUUUGAGAGACACGAGACACAGACGGGACAGAUAUCUGAAGAGUUGUUGGCAGCCAACCAAAUGUUACAGCAGACGCAGCAGCCAUAUAGCUACCUGAUUGAGGCAAUGAGACAGAGGGAUGCACAGAUCACCACGCUGAAGGAACGUAUCACCUCCCUUGAGGACGAUGUCAGGUACAUGCACAGAAACACACACUCACAGAGAGGAAAAGUCUUUUUUUAAAUUGAAGACCUGUGAGGCUUUUGUCUUGCUUGCGAAAACUGCCUUUUAAACUUGAUAAUGUAUCUUGUAAUUUACUCAUGGCAGUAGGCCAUACCUCCCCACCCUUGGCAUUUUCAGCUUCAUUUCCUUGUCUCGUCUUCUAUCCUAAUCACACCUAGUUUAUUUUGUCAUUGUGCAAACCUACAUGUCUCAUUUUUUUUCAAAUGUUCAAUAAGUGGGAGCUUCACAUCAGCAAACCUACAGCUGCCUGGGACUGACCUAAAUCCCUCUAGUUCUCAUCUGUAUUUUAACCUGAGACAUAUGCAAAUUGACAGACUGCAGGUUUUCUCUUGCUGAUCAAUACCAAAAAAAACGGGAGAGCAAAAAAAAUACCUUUAGGUUACUUUCGUUACUCACAAAUCACGUUAAGUUUCAUCCACAUCUUUUAUACAGGAAGGGGACAUUAAAUUAACUCUACCUGGCAUUAUAUGUAAAAUACAAAAAAAAGCUUAUCUCAACGUCUGACCACCAGCCCCCCUCACUUAGAAAUGUGUGGAUGAGCAGCUCUACCGAGGAGCCCAUGCUCAGGACAGCGUAACCCAGGCUUGGAUACGUGACGUCCAGCCUGUAAAACCUUGCAAAUGUGAGUGGCGAAGACCAGCUAGCUGCAGUGCAGAUGUCCUGGAUAGAGACCCCCUUAAACAGGGCCCAUGAGGUCGCAAGACCCCUGGUAGAAUGAGCCCAUAACCCAGCCGGAACCUGAACGCCUGAACUGGAGUAGGCCAAUUGAUGAUGAAUCAUCGUUGUCUCCCUCCGACAUGAGAACAUUUCCGCUGUCUGAUUCUACCGCCUCAUCUUAAUCCAACAAGAGAGGUGGCUCAGCAAGCGGGUGUAGAAAGUCAAGCGCCAAACCCCAGCAUCAAAUCUUCGGUUCCGGAGUAUCCUCCUGCUCCAUGCCGAGUUAGGUUUCCUUAGGGGUGACACUGAUGAGGAUACGGUCCCCCUCAGAGAGGCUUGCCUGGCGGAGCAGACCUGGUGUGUGUCUUUGCCCGAGAUUUUGUUUCCACAGGUGUAUUUAUGGCACAGGGUCCUGACCCAAACGUCAUGACUGCCAGACAAUCAGGGAUGGGGUAAUGUACAAGUGCUUCUGUGAAUACGCAAGGGGUCGUAUCCCAUAGUGAGACAUCUUAACUAAUGCUAUGAAAGAGAACCAAAACCUUUAAUAAUACUCUCAGGCUUCUCAAGCCUCCUCAUUUGACAGAGAUGUUGACGUUUUCCUGUGGCUGCCUGUUUAAAGGUUCAGUAGCAGGGGCAAUUCUAGGAUCAGAGCUUCAGAUGUCCGUGUGUCGUCGUCCCGUACCUGCAGGAAUUUUGAUGAAAAGUAGCAAUUUGUAUGAAGUUAUGAACAGAUUAUUUCCUGGUGAUAUUUUAAUAUUUCAGGUGAAUUUUUUUUUCUCAUAUUUUUAAGACCAUAAUUCACAUUCACAACAACAGCGGCUUUGAACUGAACUUUGAACAGCUGCAGCAGCGUGGCGUCAGUCACCGCAGCUCAAUUACUGCAGGUCGCGUUGUACCGUUUCAAAAAGAAAAGUGCAACCAGCCAAACAUACAUGUUGAGAACGGCCACUACUCUAGUAACGUUAAUAAGAACACAGCAGAGCUUUCCGCCUCACUCAGUCUGGUAAAAGUAAAGAAAUGUGUAACACAUUGUUGUUUGAGCUACUAACUGGAACCACCGCACCACACACAGUCAACCACAGCCGCACUGUGUGUACGUGUGUGCUUCGUGCUGGCUACUGCAGGGCUUCGGGAGAGCCGGGCAGUGGCAGGGAGAGUGAAAAUCAGUUAACACGCCACUGUUCAGUAGGUAGGAUUUGUAAAAAUAACUUUUUUUCAGAUUUACUGAAACUGUCACUAUAUCCUGUUAGUUAUAUGUGAGACAGAUCAUAUGUGACACAAUCUAGUUCAUUUAGCAACCCCAGCUGCCUUUAAUGCCAUUUGCAAGAAUCCAACGCGUCCAAAGAAAAAUCACCAAUCACAGCCAGUGGUAGUCUCUCUACUCUGUCAAUCAUCUGGGUACGCGCUGUGCAGUGCUGACAGUACCUGUGCACACUCGCUCGGUCAAGACCAAGCUCACGUCUUAGCAACGAGGAGCUAGCAGCAGAAGCAGAAACCUGCAUAUACGACAAAGACCACGUGCAGAAACUAGCUAAAAAGAAGGAAGCAGAUCGAGCAGAGAUUGAACCUGUGUAAACAUCAGAGCGGUGGUCCACAGAUGAGAGAGCUGCAAGACCUAAAGGAUUCACAAACGAUGUUUUCUGCUUGUCCGGUAAUUAUCCGUUUCAUUCAUGUUUGAUUUUAUUUUCCAUUUUAUUGUAGCAUUCAGUAACCAUACCGCAUGCUAUUGUGGUGUUGUAAUCAGCCUACUAGUUGCUAGGUUCACAGUGCUGUGUAUAGCGUUUUUAUUGCAUAUUGACUGAAAAUAUUUUUAUGGGGCCAAGCAGUCUUAUCGGUUUUGAGAGUUUUCCAGACAUUUUUGUGCCGUUGCUUGUCCUCUCGCGGCUAAAUGCCCCCCCAUCAGUGUCGUACUGUUUAGUUAGCAGAAAUGUACCAUCCCAUGCUAUGCUAAAUGUUAAGUAUGUGUCGAUAUUCCCAGCUGUGGCUACAGUCAAAAUCAUAUAAUUAAUUUUCUCAUACAAUCAUCACAUACGUAUUUUUUAAUCACUGUAGUGCAAACUGUCAAAUUAUUCAUAUUUAUGUGUGAGCGUAAUGAAUGUGUGAGAGAGAGUGACUGUGCAAAUGUGAUGUGAAGCAGAGUUAACUGUAGCAGUACAUUGACAGUAGUAGAUGUACCGUGCCGGUUAUAGUCUGUCAAUAACGCAGCAGCGUCUCAAGACAAAGGUUAAGUUCCUGUGUGUUGUUUACACAUUGUUACUUUCACUGUCGACAAAGUGAAAGGCGUUUGUCCCAAAGCAAGACUCUACUUUGGCCAUGGAGAAAAGUACAAUGCACAUCUCCCUGCUUUGAACAGCAUGUAGUUACACAUUGUGUUGGACUCUGAUUAUGUACGCACAUGCCCUUUUUACAAUUUGUGGCAAGUUGGUUACAAUGCAGCAUAUAAAGGGGAUGAUUUAUUCCCCUCACAGUAUUUUGAUUUGUGAUCAAUUUUUAAGGGAUGAAUAUUUUUAGACGACUAUUUUUUUUUAUUAAAAAAAAUAUUAUUUUAUUAUUUUUAAUAAAAAGUAUUAUAACAGUUUUCUCUGAAUUUGCAGGUCAAAUGCAGAGCUGGAGUCCUUCUAUAAUCACAUCCUGAUGUGCUUCAGCAUCAGUCCUUCAGUCUAUGAAGCCAGAAUCUUACUUGCUGACUCAGACUACAACCACCAUGUCCACAGACCACCCAAAAGAAGACCUGACAGCUCUAUACAUAUUAAAAGGAUAAGAAAGUUUUUCAAGAUUAGUGGGUUGUGGUUGAUUCCAUGUCGGUGAAAUGUUCUGUUAAAUAAGUGAAUAUUUAUGCAUGCUUUUUCCCCCUUAGAUUUUUAUUUUCUAUUUAUUAGAUGGGUAGGUGUUAGAAGAUGAAAAAUAGUAUUUUAUUGCCUUGGUUUAGCACCCAGAUGAAUCAGGAAAGAAAUCCUGCAACAUUAAAUUUGUAGAUCCAAAUACAUAAUUCUACCGGAGUAUUAUAAAUAUUCAACACACCUACUUUGUAUUUUAUUUAUGUGCAAAAUAAAGCUUGACAAUAUCACAUCAUUGUUUACUUUGAUAAAUUUGUUAUGCUUUUCUUUGAGAUAUUACAUGGGUUGUACUGAAUCAGUGAAUCCGAUAACCCCAAAUUAAUAUAUUUCUAAUGCCUUGAAUUGGUUCAAAAGUAUAUUGAUAAGAAAAUGAAGUAAUCUUCACAUUGUUGUAUAUAUAUGCAAUUAAAAACCAAUCACUUUAAAAAAAUACACUUUAUUGCAAGGCAAAUAUUCGAGAUGGAAAUAAAUAUUAAAAUAUAUGUUUGAAAUAAAUCAAUGAAAUGAAAAAAAAAUGUAUUGAACAGCACACUAUUUACACCUAGCAAUGGCAACUGAAGCUACACCAUCAUUGAAUGAAACAGUGCAAGCAGAAGGUACAAACUGUCAAAAAUCAAAGAUCAUCAAAGAUCAGCAAUGUCUUCAGCUCCCAGGACCUCGGGUGUCUGGCCAACACGCUGACAUCUGCCCCAUCCUCCACGGCCCCUGCCCCCUCUUCUGUUUGCUCGUCUACUCUUCGGAGCAGGAGUCCAG